rnacentral:rRNA from 1 species
CAGACAGCUAGGAGGUUGGCUUAGAAGCAGCCAUUCCUUUAAAGAAAGCGUAACAGCUCACUAGUCAAGGUGAUUUGCGCCGAUAAUAACCGGGACUAAAGUAAAAUACCGAAGCUUAGGACUUCUUUUGAAGUGGUAGGAGAGCGUUCCAUUAACUGUCGAAGGUUUACUCGUGAGAGGAGCUGGAGGAAAUGGAAAUGAGGAUGCUGGCAUGAGUAGCGAUAAAAUACGUUAAAUUCGUAUUCACCGAAAGCCUAAGGUUUCCUGAUCAAUGCAAAUCAGAUCAGGGUUAGUCGGCCCCUAAGGCGAGGCCGAAAGGCGUAGUCGAUGGGAAUCAGGCAAAUUUAUAAUAUUCCUGAACCUCCGAACCUUAAACUAGAAAAUCCAUGAUCCAGAUCUAUUUAGCUUAUUGAUUUGUUAAAUAGAAGUAAGUUGUGGCAAGAAAAAGUCUAGUGUAUGCUAAGGAGACCGUACCGUAAACCGACACAGGUAGGCGAGAUGAGAAUUCUAAGGUGCUUGAGAGAAUUGUGGUCAAGGAACUCGGCAAAUUGACCCCGUAACUUCGGGAGAAGGGGUGCCAACUUCGGUUGGCCGCAGAGAAAUGAGGGUAGCGACUGUUUACUAAAAACAUAGGUCUAUGCUAACACGUAAGUGGAAAUAUAUGGACUGACACCUGCCCGGUGCUGGAAGGUUAAGAUACUUUGUCAUUCAGACUUGUCUGAAGAAGCUCGGUGUUGAAGCCCCAGUAAACGGCGGCCGUAACUAUAACGGUCCUAAGGUAGCGAAAUUCCUUGUCGGGUAAGUUCCGACCUGCACGAAUGGUGUAACGACUUCCCUACUGUCUCGACCAGAAACUCAGUGAAAUUGUAAUGUCGGUGAAGAUGCCGGCUACCCGUAGAAGGACGGAAAGACCCCGUGAACCUUUACUACAGCUUGAUAUUGGCUUUAGAUUCUAUAUGUGUAGGAUAGGUGGGAGACUUUGAAGCGGGCACGCUAGUGUUCGUGGAGUCAACCUUGAAAUACCACCCUUAUAUCAUUUGAAGUCUAACUGUAUACCUUGAAUCAGGUAUCAGGACAGUGUCUGGUGGGUAGUUUGACUGGGGCGGUCUCCUCCUAAAAAGUAACGGAGGAGCUCAAAGGUUCCCUCAGCACGGUCGGUAAUCGUGCGUAGAGUGCAAACGCAUAAGGGAGCUUAACUGCAAGACAGACAUGUCGAGCAGAUGCGAAAGCAGGAGUUAGUGAUCCGGCGAUUCCGAGUGGAAGGGUCGUCGCUAAUCGGAUAAAAGGUACUCCGGGGAUAACAGGCUUAUAACCGCCAAGAGCUCAUAUCGACGCGGUUGUUUGGCACCUCGAUGUCGGCUCGUCUCAUCCUGGGGCUGGAGAAGGUCCCAAGGGUUGGGCUGUUCGCCCAUUAAAGAGGCACGCGAGCUGGGUUUAGAACGUCGUGAGACAGUUCGGUCCCUAUCCUCUACGGGCGUAGGAAAUUUGAGAGAAGCUGCUUCUAGUACGAGAGGACCGAAGUGGACAAACCUCUAGUGUACCUGUUGUCACAUCAGUGGCAUCGCAGGGUAGCUACGUUUGGUCGAGAUAAGCGCUGAAAGCAUCUAAGCGCGAAGCUCAUCUCAAGAUAAGAUUUCCCUACUCUUUUGAGUCUAAAAACCUCCAGAAGACUACUGGAUUGAUAGGUCACAGAUGUAAGUGCAGUAAUGUAUUUAGUCGAGUGAUACUAAUUGGUUGUGAGACUUGAACAA